rnacentral:rRNA from 1 species
UACGAAGGGUGCAAGCGUUACUCGGAAUUACUGGGCGUAAAGCGUGCGUAGGCGGUUUGUUAAGUCUGAUGUGAAAUCCCCGGGCUCAACCUGGGAAUGGCAUUGGAUACUGGCAGGCUAGAGUGCGGUAGAGGGUGGUGGAAUUCCCGGUGUAGCAGUGAAAUGCGUAGAGAUCGGGAGGAACAUCUGUGGCGAAGGCGGCCACCUGGACCAGCACUGACACUGAGGCACGAAAGCGUGGGGAGCAAACAGG